ACCCUCAUCCCCACUUUAUUACCCCCCCUCCACACACACACAUGCUGCCUACCUUCUUCCCUACCCUGACCUCUACCCCUAACCAUAAAAUAUAUAUAAAAAAAUAAAUGCAAUCUACCCCUCAAACAUAACCCCAUCACCAGUCAACUCCCUCCAUCCUAAAAAAAUAUUAUUUAAAAUGUAAUUUUUUUCAAACAAAUUUUUGCACCCCCAUCCCCAAAAUUUUUUAAUCAAGUGAAAUUUUUUUAAAAAUAAAAAGAAUCAAUAUCAAUUAAA
rnacentral:lncRNA from 1 species